UCGGGGCAAGGCGACCCCCCGAUCAGGCGUUCCCCGCCCAAGCGUCGC
rnacentral:ncRNA from 1 species